CUGGUUGAUCCUGCCAGAGGUCACUGCUAUCGGGGUUCGAUUAAGCCAUGCGAGUCGAGAGGGUUCAGACCCUCGGCGGACUGCUCAGUAACACGUGGAUAACCUGCCCUAAGGUGGAGCAUAACCCCGGGAAACUGGGGAUAAUACUCCAUAGGUUAGAGAUACUGGAAUGUUCUUUAAUCAAAAGUUCCGGCGCCUUAGGAUGGAUCUGCGGCCGAUUAGGUAGUUGUUGGGGUAACGGCCCGACAAGCCUGUAAUCGGUACGGGUUGUGGGAGCAAGAGCCCGGAGAUGGAAUCUGAGACACGAUUCCAGGCCCUACGGGGCGCAGCAGGCGCGAAAACUUUACAAUGCAGGAAACUGUGAUAAGGGAACCCCGAGUGCCCGUAUACGCGGGCUGUCCGGGUGUAUAAAAAGCAUCUGAAGAAAGGGCCGGGCAAGACCGGUGCCAGCCGCCGCGGUAAUACCGGCGGCUCGAGUGGUGACCACUUUUAUUGGGCUUAAAGCGUUCGUAGCUGGACUCUUAAGGCUCUUGGGAAAUCCCGCGGCUCAACCGUGGGGCGUUUAAGAGAUACUGGGAGUCUAGGAACCGGGAGAGGUAAGAGGUACUUCGGGGGUAGAAGUGAAAUUCUGUAAUCCUCGAGGGACCACCGAUGGCGAAUGCAUCUUACCAGAACGGCUUCGACAGUGAGGAACGAAAGCUGGGGGAGCGAACGGGAUUAGAUACCCCGGUAGUCCCAGCCGUAAACGAUGCGCGUUAGGUGUACUGGUGACCACGAGUCACUGGGGUGCCGAAGGGAAACCGUGAAACGUGCCGCCUGGGAAGUACGGUCGCAAGGCUGAAACUUAAAGGAAUUGGCGGGGGAGCACCAC
rnacentral:rRNA from 1 species